AGUGCCCGUUUAUUUGGUAUUUGUUUUGUUCGCUUUAGAAUUAUCUCACUGUGAUCUCGUAGCAUAAUUCAUAAUUCGCUAAUGUAAGAGCAAGAGCAGCUGCACUCCUACUAGGGCAAGUUAACUACCUCGAUCCCGUUCCGUGUGACUAAUGUUUGUCAAAUUUACAUCGGGCGUGGUGCGCCUGCAUAGUUACGCUUUGUUUCUCAGCGCUUGAAUGUUCAUUGAUGUGAUUCUCUUGUGCGUUCAGCGCGGCUGCUUGUAAUGCGGUCGUUCGCGCUUCAGUUAAAUGUGGUCGACCACUUUUGCGUCGCGUAGAAAAGGACUGGCUUAGCCACCUUUCGAAGGAACCGGCGCGGUAUUGGUUCUCCCUGAUGCGGUCGCGUGCUGCUGUUGCUGCUUGCCGGACGCCUUCAGCAUUUUAUCGGCUCGCUUUGUCUGCGUGUGCGCGUGCUCGCGCUCGGCUUGAUUUGUGUGUGCGCUCAGCUCAGCUCGCUUUGUGUGUGCGUGCGUGCGUGCGUGUGUGCGCUCAGCUCAGCUCGCUUUGUGUGUGUGUGUGUGUGUGUGUGUGUGCGCGCGCGCGCGCGUGCGUGCGUUCAGUACAUGCCGGUUUGUAUGGGCCGGCGUGUUUGCGCGUGUCUAGUGCGUACGUGUUUUGUGAGUGUUGUCUGUGGGUCGAUGUGUGUGCGUGCACGUGUUAGCGUGUCUGCCUGCAUGCAUGUAUGUGUGCUUGUUUGUGUUCAUCAAUGUGCGCGUGCGCGCUUUUGUGUCUGCGCUUUGAGAGUGCGUAUACUUGUGUGUGCGUGUGGAUGCGUUUUGUGUGCGUGCGUAUGUAUUGCAUGAGGCCGGUAGAGUUUUACUCGCAAUAAAACUCUUCCGAUUUGGUGCAGCGAGUGUUCCCGCCUGAAAGCCGAGUUUGGUUUCAAGCCACCCUGGACAACUGCUGUAUGAGGCGCCGUUUCUCGGGGGGACCAGUGGGAAGGCGCCAAGUCAUGCAGAUGGUAGCAGCGAUUUCACAAUGCCCAGCCUUGGCGCCCCCCAUCAAGAGCAAGCCACUUGCUUUCGCCUUCAGACAGAUGGUUAACGUCUUCUUGAAAGCGGUUGAGAAGACAACAUUGCUGCAAGAUUCCAGCAAUGCCAUGCGCUGCAUUUAUUGGUCAAGAUGCUCAGAGAAUGGAGUCCCUGCACCUCGUGGUUAACCGUGAACAUUUCUUUUUCUUUUGGAAAGCUAAAGGCCAUUUGCUGCAUCACUUGCAUUUUUGCAGCUCAGAUGUGUACUAUAUUUUUCUAAUUUUGAAUCAAUAUUGGCUAUUCAGUAUAAAAAAUGACGUACAGCGUGAAGGACAAGGACUGCGAGAGACACACUCCACUGACUUUCAACAAUAUUUUAUUGCGUUGCCACAUCGUAUGUGUAUACACAGAGGGGUCAUGCGCAGAAAAUGAAAGCCAGACACAAGGGGUGUUCUAACAGCAAGUCAUUGUAAAAAGAACAUGGUCACUUGAAAAAAAAAACAUCACAAUUUCUAUCUGUUUAGAUACAAAAUUUCACUAGGGGUCAGCGUGAUAGAGGGGGCACUAACGCACACACUACCCAGUUUUCUGGUGAAAUCAGCUUCAAUAAUUUACCGGGUGAGCUGUGUCUCGCUAAAACUUCGGUAUCUUAAAGAGGGGCAUGCAGCCGCAGUCCCGGCAAUGAAUGCCCAAGUGGCCUUGAACAGUGUUAUGGACGUUGUUAUAGUGCUCUCUUAAACGAUCAUUUAGGCGCAAGCCUAUCUGUCCAAUAUAUUUACUGCCUCAAAAUGGGAAUUUGGGAAACCACAUUCAUUGCACACAUCGCAAAACGUUUUCUGUGCUCGGCAGAGCAACAACUCUGACGUGAUUUAGGCGCGUUUACACACUUACAGAGCCUUGCCAGCUUUUCCGGGGCUGAGAAAAGGACUGUGAUUUCUGCAGGUCCCCUAAUCUUUUUUAGCCUAUGGGAGACAUCAUGAACAUACGGUAGCACUGCAAACCUGUGUCUUUCAACCGGCUGGUUCCUUGACCGAGCGUGCUCAUCAUGUUUUGUGCACUUCAGAAGCUGUUCCGCUAUGGCUGAAAUUAAGGCCAAAGGGUAGCCAACCCAAGAAAGGCAAUCAGCCUGUGCAGCAACGCUAUGUUGCAUCUCUUGUGAGCAAGAUUUAUUGAGGCUGUUAAGGAGGCAAAGCUUCACAAUAUCUCAUUUGACUUUGUUGGACAGACAGGCAGGCGCCUAAACAAUCAUUUAGGAGAGCACGAUAACAACGUCCAUAACACUGUUCAAGGCCACUUCGGCAUCCAUUGCUGGGACUGCGGCUGCAUGCCCCUCUUUGAAGGUACGGAAGCUUUAGUGAGACAGGUCAUCCAGGAAACUAUAGAAGCAGAUUUCACUAGAAAACUGGUUAGUGUGUGCGUUAGUGACCCCUCUAUCGUGCUGACCCCUAGUGAAGUCUUGUAUCUCAACAGAUAGAAAUUCUAAUGUUUAUUUUUUUCAAAGGACGAUGUUCUUAGUACAGUCACUUGCUGUUAGACACCCCUUGUGACUCAUAUUCUGCGCAUGCCCGCUUUUGUGCAAAUAUACUCGAUGUGGCAACGUAAUUAAAUAUUGUUUGAAGUCAGCGCAGUCUGUCAUCUCUCGCAGUUCUUGUCAUUCAAGCUGUACGUAAUUUUAUCUCAUUAAUUGCAAACUAUCCCAAGGAACUACCCUUGUUCAGUAUAAUUAUAAUGUUUGAUAUGACCAUUUGCUGGCAAAUGUUAACAGUGUGAUAUUUAACUUGAACUUUUGCAUGACUGCCUAUGCCUGUGUUCUUUUAGUAACCAGAGUAUGGCUAAUUUAUUAAACCAUAUUUGCUAAUUUGCAUGCUCACAUGCUAUAGCAUGCCUUAAUCUUGAAUUACUGCAUCUAAGUGCAAAUAAUUUAGAAAUUUACUAUGUAUUUUAAAACACUGUCCACAUUUUGUGCUCAGCAAAAUCGUUUAAUCAACAGUGGUUUGUUUUUAUCAGGCCUCCUGCUGCACUUUGCACCCAGGCACUAGUAGAUGUGGAAUAUGCACUCUUUUGAUUUAUAGUAAGCAAAGAACCUAUUUUCAAACUACAUAUUGUAUAUGUACCAGUGCCUUAGAGUUACAAAACAAAAAUUUAUAGAAACUGGUAUUGUAGUUAGAAAAACCGCUACACAGCACCUUUAGCCCAGAGAACUCUCAUUUCACAAAAGAGGACAAACUAUGUAGGCGCUAAAAAAUUCUACGUAUUUUUUGUGCUCAAGUAAUCUUGUUGGAAAUAGAAAAUUAGCAAUAAGGCUCCUGGCAUAAACCUCACUUAAAGCAUGUCUAUGCUUGGAAAGUAUUCUUUCAGUCUGAAAAAUGUUGGCCAGUUAUGCUUUACAUCGACUUUCCAAACUUUUCAUAAUGCUUUGCGAUUACAUUAGUGUACAAAAUAACAGGUGUCUUUCUAGUGCGUUUGCUCUGCAUUUCAAUUGCUUCCCUAAUUCACCUUUGCAAUAUGCCUUUUUUUAAGGCAUCAAAACUUGAAUUUUCGUUCACUGGAGCCUAAUACUAAAAAUUUAUUCCUUUAUGUGGCCCAAAACACUGCGAAUCAACCCAGGCUCUUUCAGUGCCGCUAUACAUAGUUUCUUCUCUAAUAACAGAUUUGAUCAAUACAUAUAUUUUAGGUACCUUUGUGGGGAAUGUACAUGUUCUUGUACUUACCGAUGUGUUUGGUGAUUGUGCAUGAUUAUAUUUCAUGUGAUUUAUGUAUAUGUUGUACUCUGUAUUGCAGCAUGCAAUAAAUAUAUUUGCAUUUUCUUGAAAAUGCAGCAUAUAUCUUACCAGUCUGUGUUGCAUGUUAUUUGGAUAUGGAAAUCGUGAUAACCUUGGUGUUGAUAUACAUGCUCAAAAGUGUCCAAGUUUGCUAGGUUGUAUUUGUGCAGCGAAGACAGGUUUUCCAAUAUACACCAUGAAUUACUAAUAUGUAAUGUGAUCCACACGUAUAGGUGUUGUGUAUGCCCAUCGAAGCUUCAAGGCCGGCUGUUCGACAGUGCGUUUUGUAGCCGAACUUGAACCUUCUGGCACACGCAGUAGUUGCGCAUGGAUCGCUGUACAUAGUAGUAAUUGAAGGCGUGUACUGCCGAAUCUGCCUUCCAUACACACUAGAAAUAAAAGGGUCUACACCCUUCCAACACCCACACAGAUGGGUGUUAAUUUGGAUGAGCAGCCUUACACCCUAAAUUUAUUUUGCUGGACACCCUUCCUUUAGGGUGCUAUAGUGGCACCCCAACUGUAGGGUGUAGACAACAGCAUCCUUAGGGUGUUCGUCUGGCGACAAACUGAUUUACACCCUUAAGGGUGUUAAAAUGUUUAGUGUGUAUGCACCAGAAUGUCACUGGUAGUGGAAUAUCUAUAUUUUAAGCUGUUCCAGUUAAUAGAGGGUAGCUUAAAGACUCCAGUAACAAUCAGGUUUCUACCGGAUAGUUUUAGAAGGUGGUCGUACAAUUUGUGCAGAAAGGCAUCGCUAGUAUCUGGUGGUCGAUAAACAACGCCAAGAAAAAAACGUGAUUCCCAGAAAUGACACCCUUAAGAUUAAACUUAACCGCCGUGGUUGCUCAGUGGCUAUGGUGUUGGGCUGCUGAGCACGAGGUCGCGGGAUCGAAUCCCGGCCACGGCGGCCGCAUUUCGAUGGAGACGAAAACACCCGUUUACUUAGAUUUAGGUGCACGUCAGAGAACCCCAGGUGGUCAAAAUUUCCGGUGUCCUCAACUACGGCGUGCUUCAUAAUCAGAAAGUGGUUAUGGCACGUAAAACCUAAUAAUUUUUUUUAAAGAUUGAACUUUCAUGUUCAAUGAUUUGAUCUGUAACCGUUAUCCAAUACCAUGGAUGGUGGGCUCGGUAGCAUCGCCCGGAGCACUAUGACUUACUUCGUACUGUUCUUCGUACAGAUCCAGCUGGGGUUACGUGGAUGCAGCGCUGGUUCCUUCCCUGCCUCGGCAAAGGCGAUGGCGUCAACGGCGCCGAUCACACGACAACCGAUUUCCACUGCACUGAGCGUAUCGCCAGCAUUGAUACCGACAUGCUCACGUCACAUGGAUUUAGGACCGGCUGAGUCACACCUGGAUCGCUCAUUUGGCUCACCAGCGACCCCUGGAACAUCGGUGGACCAGCUUAAAAGGAAGCCCAGCAGCCGCGCGCAACUCAGUGGGCUCGGUAGCAUCGCCCGGAGCACUAUGACUUACUUCGUACUGUUCUUCGUACAGGUUGGUAACAAAUGGCGUUUUUGCGCUUGCGUUAAGAGCAAUGAUGUCUGUCUGGUAGUGCUGCCGAGCCCACAGUGCGCACUGCUUUGUUGUUUGGAAUCAUUUCGCGUCAUUCUCAUGGUAUUGCAACGGAGUGGUGACGUAGAGCAAAGCCCGGCCCCGAUAAACUAGAUGAAAUAUUGCGGGCUGUAACUGAAAUCCGAACUUCGCACUCGACCUUAGAAACUGGUCUAGCAAAUGUGCAGCAGAGGCUUUCACAAAUGGAAGCGACCCUCUCGUCACUCAGGCAAUAUCACGAGAAAGUUGAUAAGUGUGAGGCAACUGUGCACGCCAUGCGCAGUGAAGUUGCCCAAAUGACUAGAAAAAUUGAUGAGCUGGAAAAUAGGAGCCGCCGCAAUAACCUAGUCAUAUAUGGCGUGAAAGAGCACGAUAAGGAAAAUCCCGCAGCCUUGGAAUCGUUUGUAACAAAAGAUAUACUGCAUAAUAUUCUAGACGUUCAGGUCAGAACUGUGGAACGCGUACACCGAAUUGGCUUAAAAAAGCCGGGUCGAGAUCGACCAAUCAUACUACGCUUUUAUGACUUUACCGAAAAAAUGACAGUACUUCGGAACUGUUUCAAAUUGAAAGGAAACAAAAUUUCAAUUUCUGAAGACUUUUCCGCUGACAUUCGUGAAAUACGCAAAAAGCUAUGGCAAGCCGCGGCAGGUUGUCGGAAUAACGGCGAUAAAGUCAGCCUACAUUUUGACAAAUUAAGGAUUAAUGAAGACCUGUACGUAUGGAAUAAUGAUCAGAAAAAAAUGGAGCCAUUGCACCGCUCGAAGCCCCACGUGACAGCGAACGCUAGCACUUCCAAUGAAUGACAAACAGAAAGUACUGCACGGCUGACGUUGCUGUGCUUUAAUGCGAGAAGCAUUGUCAAUAAACUUGAAAAGCUUGAGGAACUGCUGCUGUUGUAUGGCCCAGAUGUAAUCGUAAUUACAGAAACGUGGUUGAACUCGGAUAUCCACGAUUCUGAGGUGGUUCCUCCCUCCUAUGCAUUUUUGCGCACAGAUCGGGACGGUCACGGUGGAGGCGUUGCUGUUGCUGUUAAGCGGAAUUUGUUUGUCCACCGAGAAACUGGCAUUACUAAUCAUGAGAGCGUCUGGUGUACAAUAAAGGUCAAUGAUGUCAAUUCACUAAUAGGUGGUGUAUACAGGCGACCAGGCGCGCCGGACAGUUACCUUGUAGAACUGUACGACUUCUUAUAUAACCACACCAACCAAAGAACGAAAUUAAUUCUAGCUGGAGACUUUAACUUAGGGGGCAUUGAUUGGGAUACCUUGUUAAUCGGCAACAAAGAAGUCAAAAGUUGUGAUCUUCUUCUUGAUAUCAUGCAGACUUUCUCGCUAGCUCAACUUGUGCAUGAACCAACUCGCGUCCAAGGGCAAGUGUGCUCAGUGCUAGACCUUGUCUUUGUGUCCACAUCUUUAACCCCUGAAGUUAGCAUAGAACCGGGUAUAUCCGACCAUAAAAUGAUUUUACUGACGGUUGACGAUCUUGGCAUGGGUGCAAGGCCCUCUAGUACUGACACCAAAAUUUUGGUUAAGAAUUACACGAGGGCUAAUGAUGAAAGCAUCAUUGAUUUUUUAGGAAUUAUGGAAGAUGAUUUUGACGAUGGUACGUUGGACGCCAACGACCUAUGGUUAAAAUUAAAAAAUGGGAUUUCGCACUGUGAAAGUAAUUUCAUUCCUACCAAGCUUAAAAAGAUAAAGCGGAGGUCGCCGUGGAUUACAAGAACUAUCAUACACCUCAAAAGAAGGGUUCAAAGGAUGCGCAAGAAAAAACAUAAUCCCACUAUGGUUAGUCAGCUUUCACGAGAACUGAAAGAAAGGUUAAAAAGCGCGAGAGACAACUUUUUUUCCAAUACUUUACUUGAGUUCAUGACAAAUCAGCCUCGGAAAUUCUGGCGGUAUCUGUCAAAACCGGAAAGUCCUCCAAUGAAAUUGGAAAUUGCCGGUAUAGUGGUUGAGGAUGCGCGUACCAUCGCUAACUCAUUCAAUACAUAUUUUCAGUCGGUAUUCUCCCGUGCCCACGCCCCUAAUAUGCCCUUAUCAGAGUAUGACUCUGCAAUGCCUGAAAUCCUGAUAACGGAGUCCGGCAUUUUGAAUUUGCUGCUACAGAUAGACGUUAAAAAAUCGCCUGGCCCUGAUAAUUUAUCAAGCACUUUCCUCAAGCGAUACGCGGGUCAGUUGUCCCCCUUCCUGCAUAAAAUUUUCAGUGCAUCACUUGAAACGGCAGUGCUUCCCGCGGACUGGCUGUGCGCAAAGGUCGUGCCAAUUCAUAAAGGUGGGAACAAGCAGCUUCUUGACACAUACAGGCCAAUAUCCCUAACCAGCACAUGUUGCAAACUAAUGGAACAUAUAAUAAAUAAAGCUAUCGUAACUUAUCUGGAAGAAAAUAACCUAUUAUACUUCAGACAACACGGCUUCAGGCAAGGGCUUUCAACUGUAACUCAACUUUUAGAAAUUAUACAUGACUUUGCUGUAACAAUCGAUGCAAGACUGCAAGCUGACGCAAUUUUUGUCGAUUUUUCGAAGGCAUUCGACCGCGUUCCACACAGUUUACUAAUCUUCAAACUUAAAUCAAUUGGUAUUAAUCCCAAGACUGUUUCAUGGAUCGAAGCCUACCUUUCGAAUCGGUCCCAGUUUGUUUGCGUAAAAAAUACUGAAUCGGACUAUCUUGAUGUUCUUUCUGGUGUGCCACAGGGAUCGGUUCUGGGGCCCACUCUUUUUCUUUUAUAUAUUAACGACUUGUAUGCAUGUAUGGAACCAGGGGUCACAAUAAGGCUUUUUGCGGACGACUGCGUCAUAUACACAACUGUUAGAACAGCCGAUGAACAGACAAAACUUAAUAAGUCUCUGCAAAACAUUGUUGCCUGGUGCGAAAAAUGGGGCAUGCAAAUUAACACACAGAAAACCAGGUGUAUGACUGUAACACGUAAGAAAGAGCCCUUAAAUUUCACAUAUAAACUAAGUAAUACUUCCUUGGAACGAGUAGACUCAUUCAAAUAUCUAGGUGUCACAAUAACAAGAUCGCUGAAAUGGGACGUACAUAUCAAUAAUGUUUGCGCACGUGCGUUCAAACAACUCGGAUUUUUACGAAGAAAGCUAGCAACAGCCCCCACCUCGGUGAAAUUAACUGCUUAUAAAACUCUGGUUAGGCCGAUAUUAGAAUACGGCAGCAUAGUAUGGAACCCGCAUCAAAAGUAUUUAAACUUGGCAUUAGAAAAGAUCCAAAGCAGGGCGCUCCGAUUCAUUUACACAAAGUAUUCAAGGUACGACAGCGUAACUGCGCUUCGCACACAAGCAGGCAUACCGACACUUGCUGGUCGGAGGAGGUUGGCCUGUUUGAAGUUCCUUUACCUUCUUUACCAUGACCUGAUAAACUUAACAAAAUCCGACUACUUGGUGCCCCCCGGACGUCUCUCCAGUCGAACUAACCAUGAAAAAUGUAUCAGACCAUUCUUUUCGCGUUGCGACACACUAAAAUACUCAUUUUUCCCUUCAACAAUACAUCUGUGGAAUUCCCUGCCAAGUGACAUCGUUUGCUCACAAUCUGUGCAUUCAUUCGUGUCGACACUCGAAUUGCACUUCGAGUCAUUAUCGGAAUGAUGACCGCAUUCUGGUCGUCUUGGCUGAGCUAUCCUCAAAAGUUAUCAAUGACGUAUUGCCACGCCCCAACUUCUUUCACACGCCGGUGUCCAUAUGCU